rnacentral:rRNA from 1 species
GAUGAACGCUGGCGGCGUGCCUAAUACAUGCAAGUCGAGCGAACAGACGAGGAGCUUGCUCCUCUGACGUUAGCGGCGGACGGGUGAGUAACACGUGGAUAACCUACCUAUAAGACUGGGAUAACUUCGGGAAACCGGAGCUAAUACCGGAUAAUAUAUUGAACCGCAUGGUUCAAUAGUGAAAGACGGUUUUGCUGUCACUUAUAGAUGGAUCCGCGCCGCAUUAGCUAGUUGGUAAGGUAACGGCUUACCAAGGCGACGAUGCGUAGCCGACCUGAGAGGGUGAUCGGCCACACUGGAACUUAGACACGGUCCAGACUCCUACGGGAGGCAGCAGUAGGGAAUCUUCCGCAAUGGGCGAAAGCCUGACGGAGCAACGCCGCGUGAGUGAUGAAGGUCUUCGGAUCGUAAAACUCUGUUAUUAGGGAAGAACAAAUGUGUAAGUAACUAUGCACGUCUUGACGGUACCUAAUCAGAAAGCCACGGCUAACUGCGUG